GAUGAACGCUGGCGGCGUGCCUAAUACAUGCAAGUCGAGCGAAUGGAUUAAGAGCUUGCUCUUAUGAAGUUAGCGGCGGACGGGUGAGUAACACGUGGGUAACCUGCCCAUAAGACUGGGAUAACUCCGGGAAACCGGGGCUAAUACCGGAUAAUAUUUUGAACUGCAUGGUUCAAAAUUGAAAGGCGGCUUCGGCUGUCACUUAUGGAUGGACCCGCGUCGCAUUAGCUAGUUGGUGAGGUAACGGCUCACCAAGGCAACGAUGCGUAGCCGACCUGAGAGGGGGACGGGGCACACGGGAACUGAGACACGGCCCAGAAUCCUACGGGGGGCAGCAGUAGGGAAUCUUCCGCAAUGGACGAAAGUCUGACGGAGCAACGCCGCGUGAGUGAUGAAGGCUUUCGGGUCGUAAAACUCUGUUGUUAGGGAAGAACAAGUGCUAGUUGAAUAAGCUGGCACCUUGACGGUACCUAACCAGAAAGCCACGGCUAACUACGUGCCAGCCGCCGCAGUAA
rnacentral:rRNA from 1 species